GUGAGAAGUCAGGGGGAACCCCUUCCCUCACAAAACCCUAAAUCACUAGAUUCCAUCAAUUGAAAGCCAGAUUAUUGAAGAAUCGAAUGCAUGACCUAAGAAUCCUGAUUAUCUAAGUGUUCUUGAUCUCAAGCACGGAGAAGGAAGAAGGCGCAAGUCACUCGAAGGCACAAGUAUCUCAAGAUCGCGGUAAAUCUCAAGUUUAAAUGUGGCGCACUCGGACCGAUCACACGCACACGCAACGCCGACCUUAUGCGCUUCCGGUCCAAGUUGUUUAUUUUGAAUGGGUCAAUUUAACAUUUUGUGUAGUUAAUGUCAAUUAGUAAGUGUCUAGUUUGUUAGCAUGAAAUUUGGUUCCUAAACUUUUGGUUUUAAUUGUACAAAAUGUUAUCGGUGGACCUUAUAUGACCACCACUU